CAGUUAGUUCCCAGUGGCAGGCUCUUGUAAUAUGUAUAACUUAAAGAUUUAUCAAAAUUUGGUGUGCCGAAUCUCAGUAACUUGGUGAAUUCGGUUAGUUCCCUAUAGGCCGCAGUAGUAAUAAGUGGACUCUUCAGGAUACAGAAAAAUUUUCACGAAUGGAAUCAAAAUUUCUAGGUGAAUUCAGUGAGUGCCCAAUGGGAUAUGCUUGUAUGAGUGUGCUUUUCAAUAUAUAUCAACAUUUUAAGGAACGGAAUCUAAGUAUCAUGGUGAAUUCAUUAGGUUCCCAAUAGGAUUUGCAUAUAAUAAGCUUGUUUUUCAAGAUAGAUCAACGUUUUAACGAAUUGAAACACUGUUUCUUUGUGAAUUCAGCUAGUUCCCAGUAGCAGGCUCUUGUAAU
ensembl:lncRNA